UGGGGAAUUUUGGACAAUGGGCGCAAGCCUGAUCCAGCCAUGCCGCGUGCAGGAUGAAGGCCUUCGGGUUGUAAACUGCUUUUGUACGGAGCGAAAAGACUCCUUCUAAUAAAGGGGGUCCAUGACGGUACCGUAAGAAUAAGCACCGGCUAACUACGUGCCAGCAGCCGCGGUAAUACGUAGGGUGCGAGCGUUAAUCGGAAUUACUGGGCGUAAAGCGUGCGCAGGCGGUUAUAUAAGACAGGUGUGAAAUCCCCGGGCUCAACCUGGGAACUGCAUUUGUGACUGUAUAGCUAGAGUACGGCAGAGGGGGAUGGAAUUCCGCGUGUAGCAGUGAAAUGCGUAGAUAUGCGGAGGAACACCGAUGGCGAAGGCAAUCCCCUGGGCCUGUACUGACGCUCAUGCACGAAAGCGUGGGGAGCAAACA
rnacentral:rRNA from 1 species